AAGCUCAACAGCGGCGAGCCCGACGCCGCCGCCCGCGCCAUGCACAAGCAGCACCUCGCCCGGCUUGAUCUGCGCGCGAUCAUGCAGCGCAUGCCAGGCCGUGCCGUGCGCGGCGAAGAAGGCCGCGCCCUGCGCGUAGUCGAACGCCGCAGGCAGCGGCAGGAGCUGAUCGGGCGUUACAACAAUCUCGUCGGCAUAGCAGCCGAACCGCGCCUUNNNNNNGACCUUGUCGCCGACAUUGAUGCCAUCUGCACCCGCGAUCUCGAUCACCUCGCCGCCCGCUUCCAUCCCCGGCGUGAACGGCAGGGGGGGGGGNNNNNNNNNNNNNCCCGCCGCCAUCAGGAUGUCGGGGAAAUUCAGUCCGGCCGCGUGGAUCGCGAUGCGCACCUGACCCGGCUCUAGCGCGGCACGUGGGACAUCUUCCAGUUUG
rnacentral:misc_RNA from 1 species